ACAAAGCAGUGAUGCAGAGCAAAUCCCCAAAAGCAGUCUUAGUUCGGAUUGUAGGCUGCAACUCGCCUACAUGAAGUCGGAAUUGCUAGUAAUCGCGGAUCAGCAUGCCGCGGUGAAUACGUUCCCGGGCCUUGUACACACCGCCCGUCACACCAUGGGAGUCGGUAACACCCGAAGCCUGUAGUCUAACCGCAAGGAGGACGCAGUCGAAGGUGGGAUUGAUGACUGGGGUGAAGUCGUAACAAGGUAUC
rnacentral:rRNA from 1 species